AGAACGAACGCUGGCGGCAUGCCUAACACAUGCAAGUCGAACGCUCUUGGGGCUUCGGUUCCAAGGGAGUGGCGCACGGGUGAGUAGCGCGUGGGAACCUGCCCUGGAGUGGGGGAUAACCGAGGGAAACUUCGGCUAAUACCGCAUACGCCGGGAAACCGGGAAAGAUUUAUCGCUCUAGGAGGGGCCCGCGUCGGAUUAGGUAGUUGGUGGGGUAACGGCUUACCAAGCCUGUGAUCCGUAGCUGGUCUGAGAGGAUGAUCAGCCACACUGGGACUGAGACACGGCCCAGACUCCUACGGGAGGCAGCAGUGGGGAAUAUUGGACAAUGGGCGCAAGCCUGAUCCAGCAAUGCCGCGUGAGUGAUGAAGGCCUUCGGGUUGUAAAGCUCUUUUGUGCGGGAAGAUAAUGACGGUACCGCAAGAAUAAGCCCCGGCUAACUUCGCGCCAGCAGCCGC
rnacentral:rRNA from 1 species